rnacentral:rRNA from 1 species
GCGCUGCUAAUACAUGCAAGUCGAGCGGACAGAAGGGAGCUUGCUCCCGGAUGUUAGCGGCGGACGGGUGAGUAACACGUGGGUAACCUGCCUGUAAGACUGGGAUAACUCCGGGAAACCGGAGCUAAUACCGGAUAGUUCCUUGAACCGCAUGGUUCAAGGAUGAAAGACGGUUUCGGCUGUCACUUACAGAUGGACCCGCGGCGCAUUAGCUAGUUGGUGGGGUAAUGGCUCACCAAGGCAACGAUGCGUAGCCGACCUGAGAGGGUGAUCGGCCACACUGGGACUGAGACACGGCCCAGACUCCUACGGGAGGCAGCAGUAGGGAAUCUUCCGCAAUGGACGAAAGUCUGACGGAGCAACGCCGCGUGAGUGAUGAAGGUUUUCGGAUCGUAAAGCUCUGUUGUUAGGGAAGAACAAGUGCGAGAGUAACUGCUCGCACCUUGACGGUACCUAACCAGAAAGCCACGGCUAACUACGUGCCAGCAGCCGCGGUAAUACGUAGGUGGCAAGCGUUGUCCGGAAUUAUUGGGCGUAAAGGGCUCGCAGGCCGUUUCUUAAGUCUGAUGUGAAAGCCGCCGGCUCAAGCGGGGGGGGUGAUUAAAAAUUGGGCAAGUAGAGUGCGGAAGAGGAGG